CCUCACGGAAUACUAACGGCGCUCGUGUUUUGAGUUUGGAGGGCAUCUUUUAUGCUAGAUGCCAUCUCUUGCCUCCAGUCCUCGCGCCCGUGAAGCAGGUUAAUAAAACUUGGUUUUCGAGCGUUUGGUGCCCCAGGAGGGCGAUCGGCCCCAUGGCCAACGCAUCGAGCGCCUGACGUGUGGCCUCGGAGGUCUUGGCCCGUCCGUUCCAGAAGCUCCCGGCGUCUCGUAAAGGCCGACAGCACCGCCGGGCAGCUCUCUGCAGCCCUGCCUCCCGCGCCGGUCUCCUCUCCCCCACAUGCUCGCUGCCGUGAAAUAAAAAGUCUGCAAUAAAAUGAGGCAGAAAUGUGUCGAUGCUGCAUUUUAGAACAUUCCAGCAAAAGGGCUGCGGGAAAUGCCUUCGUUUACGUUCAGGAGGGAAGCUCCGUGAGAGUAAGCGGUAAAAUAGC